ensembl:lncRNA
CCCAAACAUAUUCUGAGGCAUCACAUCCAAAGAUCUUAUAUUUAAAUUCUUUAUGAGAGAGGGAGGAAGAAAGGCAGGAGGAAGAUAUUAACGAUACAGAGAAGAAAUUUUUAAUCAGAGGAAGCUUGAUUUGAAUUGGGAUAGUAAAGGUUACAACCAAGUAGCAGGGUCUGCAGGAAGCACUGUGUGGCAUCUCAGAGCAUCAAGGUAAAAGGUCACUGAAGCUCUAAUCUUGAACUCUCUAAAGCAUUACUCAGAGCUUCUGUAGCUCCUCCUGGAAGAGCAAUGGAAACAGAAACGACCAACAGGCCUUGAGAAUGACCAGGAUAACGAACGGAGCGGCGUUUUAGCGCUGCGCUGCAGCAGCUUUAACUUUGCUCUCCAUAAAGUCAGUAGCAACAAGGAUCUCCAUAUCAGCAGGGGAACUGCGCCCGAAUAAUUACACAAGUUGCUGUGCACUCCGCCAUGAGUAAGAGUUUAUGCUGAAGCUGUGAGUUUUCCCACGAAAGCAGAGAAGAGACACGUGUAGCGGGUGGAAGCACACGCAGCUCCUACCACACUCUGGGGAAGGUUCCUGCAUUCCAUGGACAGUGCUGCCUUUGGGGAGGGCUCCCGGUGUGCAGCUCUGCCAUCCCCGCCGGUGUGGAAAAAGUGGAGAACUGUGACCUAUUGUACCACCUAUAAAUGAAAAAUACAGAGCAUCAUGAUUGGAAUUCCCAGGGGGUAUUUUUGUGGAACUUCAGAGCGAACGUGGCUGACACUUGUUCUUUGUUGCCCUUGGGCUACCGGUUUGAUCACUGACUGAAUGGAUUUAUCCAUGUCAGCAGAAGGAAUUUCUCACUCUUGUCGUGCUGAACCCGACACGGAGCAGCGCCAUGGAGCGGGGCGGGCAGCCGGACAGCGCGGAGCAUCGCGAGCAGUUGCUGUAGAUGUCUACUUUGUUCCAAAGCCCCUUUUGUCCCUGGCCAUGGGGCUGUCCUGGAGCACCAUGGAUGUCCCCACACUGGCAGCAGGGCCUGAGCAGCCAUGGGAGGAUGCGCUGCUGGACAGACAUGGGCAGCACCAGCGGUGCAAGUGCAAAGGAUGAAACUGCCCUGGAGAGAGAAUGGGCUCAGCACAUGACAACGCAGACGUGGCUGUGCUCAGGAUUACCAUGCCUGGACGUGGGAGCAAGAAACCUGAACUUGCUGUGGGUUGAAAAAGUCUGAAAUUACAUUCUUGGUGAUGUAAGAGAUCUUCCGAUCCCUGGGAUUUUUCACUGAUGUCAUUACGGACACAAGUACCAUCUGUUUCCUACAUGUAGUAAGAAGCAGCUGCCUCUACAAAGACUGAGGUUUCAGGGAUGCUCAAAGAUGACGCCUCAUGGGAGCGGAGACGAUGCUGUCGCCCUGCAACUCCCUCUAGGACCCCAUGGCAUCAGCCUCUCUGCAGCUCCUUCCCGCAUCAGUGCAAGAGGGCAAAGGCUUCCGAUGCUGGCAUCAGGGGGGAGUUGUUCUUCACAUGGCACAACUCAGCCAGGCACUGUCCUGGAGGGGACCAUCAAUGUCUGCACGAG